GCCUGUGUGGCUCAGUCGGUUGAGCAUCUGACUUCGGCUCAGGGCGUGAUCUCACAGCUCGUGAGUUCAAGCCCCACGUCAGGCU
rnacentral:tRNA from 1 species